rnacentral:antisense_RNA from 1 species
CCCAAACCAACCUGUCCUGACUAUGACUCAUAGGAAAAACCAA